UUCCUCAGGAAGACAACAUCAUGGACAUUUUGCCGUUCUUCUCUGCAGAAACAUGGACUCUGCUGGUUACUUCUGUCUGCUUAUUUAUUGUGUACAGAUACUGGACCUUAUGGAAUAUUUGACAAGAUGGAAUCCCUGGUCGGAAGCCAGUGAUGUACUUUGGCACAAUUGGCAAGCACAGCAAAAUUUACUACAAAGAUGACCACGUCUGCUUUCAAAGUACGGAAGAAUAUGGGGGUCCUACGAGUUCAGGAGCCCAUACUGGCUGUGAUGGAACCUGACAUGUUGAAAGUCAUUCUGGUGAAGGAGU